UUGCCUCAUACCUAAUCUCUUGCCCUAAAUUCUUUGCCUCUCACGUUUCAGCGCUUGCUCUCCGUCUAUACUCUAGUGGUUCCUUGACGUCAGUGGUGGUGCCUUGCUCUCUUAGCACCUGAUUGACGACGCCUCUUGGAGUUCAAGACACCUGUUUCGACCCUCCCUCAGGAACAAACAAGUAGCAAGUGAAGCCAAGCAGAGUAUAUGUGUUUGUCAGUUUGUGUUAUAUUAUAGGAUCCAGAUUGAAUUAGUGAUUUCAUCCUUUGAGGGACCUACUGAAAUUUCUCAUGGUUGUGUUUGAAGAAUGGGGACCCUUCUCGAAUUUCUUGUAUCCUUUUUUUUAAAUGUUUUUAGGAGUAUUUGUAUCAAGUAUUGAACGAAUAACUUUAGUUUUUUUAUGAUUGUGACAGUUUCAAUUGAACCUUAUAUUUGGUUUGAAUCAAUACUCAAUAGUUUGAAUCACUAAGAUAUAUUUUUUCUGCAUCUGGUUUUAAUUUCUAUUUUUCUAAUCGAAAUGUUGCUCUUGCUUCAAAUAUGUGGCGUUAGAUUCUAGAUCUUUUUGUCACUGUAGUGAGAUUUGUCUUUCUAGAUUUGUACUUUGACUCUUGCAGUACUUUCAUAAAUUCAAUUGGUGCUCUCCUUAUUUUCUAAUCCUCUACUUUCUUUUAAAAAUUUAAAAUGAAAGUAGUGAUGAUCAACACUCCCACAAUGGUGGCUUCUUCAAUGAUUCCAUCACUUCCCCCACCCUCUCCCAAGGCAUAACUGGGGUGCCCUGAUUUGCAUGGGAAAAAGGCGUUAAAUGGGCAGAAUUUAGAUGCUGGAACGAGAGAUAAGUUUUCCUAAGGUUGUGCACUGUGGAUUCCUUCCAACCUUUUCCUUAGGAUGGCAUAUUAAUCUCUUGCCAUUCUGUUUGGAACCAGCUCUUAUAUCUCUGGAAUACAUUUAUGAAAUUCCACAGAUGUUUAUUUGUUUCUUCAUAUAUGGAGCUUUUCAAUGAAGUCUGCGUGAUGUAAACAUGAGGCCAGCAGAGGAGAGCACGCUAUGAGACUAUCCUGAGUUCUUCCAUGUGUGUAAGAUAAUUUGAUCCUUUAAGUUUUUUAAUCACUCAAUCUUUGGGUAGGAGAUAUGGUGGCAAUGUGACUCAUUGUAGUUCCCCUAUAUGUUUCUUUUGGUUUUUUUGCUCAAUUGAUUGUGUUUAUCUAUUCAUCAUGAACACAACAAGCAUAGUAGCAUACUACUGAUCCACAUCUUCACUUUUUGUAAGAUAUUUAUGUGUUUGAGACAACUAAAAGCAGAUAAAUUGUGACUUCUAAGUUUGUUCAUGGAAAGCGUUUAUUGUUAUGUGUGCAUUUUGAUAUUCAUUUAUACUGCACCUUGAUUGCAAUGACCCAAAUUAGUUUUUCAAAUGAAUAUCUAAGUUGCGACAGAAUUUCUGUCCCCAACAAGCAGCAGAUUUUUUUUUUCAAAUCUUCACAGCUCAGUGACGGAAUAUAUCCCUCGCAAAUAUCGGGACAGACUAUGUUUUUUUGAAUUCCGUCACAAAAAGUUAUUAUUUCUGUCACCAAUUCUGUCACACCACUACCAUCUUAAAAAAUAAACUUAUUAUGUUCCGUUUCAACCCUGCGACGGAAAUAUAUAUUUCGUCACAAAAAAUUUAUUCAUUCCGUCCCAAAAAUAACUAUUCAAUUCGUCGCAAAUAUCGUCACGAUACUUCAUGAUAGUCUGUCGCCAUGUUCGUCGCCCAUGUGCGACGGAACAUUAGAUUUCGUCCCAAAGUUUUUGCGACGAGCGAUAUUGUGACGCAAUUUAUCGCGUCACAAUUCCGUCCCAAAAUAUUUUAGGGACGGAAUUUUUAACUGUUGUGCGACGGAUUUGUCCGUCCCAAAUUAGUGUUUUUGUAGUAGUUAAAGGGUAAUGGUGGCUAUGGAGGUAGCAACAAUGGUGGUAGUGGUUGGAGAGGAGGAGAAUAGUAGCGACAAUGUCAGUGACGGAGGUCGCGAAGGCAGUGGAGGGUUUCGGUAGCGCCGAGGGUGCAUGGUUGUAGUGGUGAUGGUGGCAGCGGUGGUAAAAAGCGAUUGUGGAGGGUUGUGUGGUGGUGAUGUUACAUAAACAAGUGGUUGACGUAACAGUUCAACAUUUCGUCCCUUAAGCAAGUGAUUGGGAGUUCGAUUUCCAACUCUUGCGAAUGAAAAAACUCGUUGGUCAGCUUCUUAGCUCUUAGUGUACUAACAGUGAGGCGAGAAAUUAAUUUCACAACUAUCGGCGGUGAGAAUAAAUGAGACAUGUUAACUGUGGGCCCAUAAAGGAUGGUCGGUAAGGUUGUAAUUUAUAUGACUCAGGCCCACGCAACACUGACAAAACUACAAGGCGACAAAGAAAAACCACCCCAGGAUUCAUCGAUCGAUCGAUUGAGAAAACUGACAACUCAACAAAACCAGGUACGCUAAUCUCUCUGGUCUCUGUCUUUCCCCCUCCCACGCUAGCAAAUGGUAGCAUUGAUUUCGCGACUUCAUCAAUUUGUCGAUAUCAAUUUUUCUAUGAUCUUCGUGAAGCUUCAAUUUCUUCGAUUCAGUUCUAAGAUCUGCACAUACAUCCAUAUAAAUUGAAUGUCAACUCGAUUCAAACAUCAUCUUAGAAUUUUCACUUGAUAGUUCUCACAUAACGACCGCAUAGCGGAGUGGAUAUCGCGUUAGACUCCGAAUCUAAAGGUCGUGGGUUCGAUUCCCACUGCGGUCAAUUUACUUUUUGUUCAGUGCUCUUUUGAUAUAUCUUUUUUUAUCUGCAUUUCAUUUGUUCCCAAUAAUUCUGAGAUCAUUUAUCAUAGCUGGAUUUGCAUCGUUCUAUGAAAGGAGGACCAGUAUUUGCACUUUUUAAGUAAAAUUAUGGCUGACAAAUAUGGUUGAUGCUGCCCUAGUUCAUGUUUGGUUCCUCAUUUGCGAGUGUUGGUAUUGAUUAUUCACUAUCAAAAUCAGCUUUUAGGUGUUUAGAUGUGGACUUUCAUAAUUGAUCAUAGCUUCAAAUUUAAUAAUGGGAUUUAGUCACUACAAAUAAUAGGUUAUACUUAUGCAGGCAUGCAGCGGACAUAAUCAAUUGUGAGAUUGGACACAUAAAUCACUUUUCUCACAAAUGCAUCCAAAGUUCAAACAUAAGUCACUUAACUUUCAGCUCACUUUUAUCACACUUAAUUUCACCAAAUUAAUUUUAUCCAGAAUCAAUUAUGACAACGCUGCUGUAAACUUACUAAAUAGUUAUGAAUUGUGCUAGAAAACAGUAUUCAUGAUAAAAUACUUUCCCAUUCUGAACCUCAUACAAUGAAUGAGAGCCAUAUAUAUUACAUUUAGACAUUUUGGAUCUUGCUUUUAUUUGUGUGAAGUUCCUCU